ACAAGGAAGAAGAAACAGAGCGGGCUUGGGAAAUGUUGAAACAGCAGCGCGCCAUUCAUCACAGCAUUGCUGAAGAGACCAGCUCUACGUGACAUUGCCAGAAUUUCCAUCACAGGAAGCAGCUUUUGAAAAUCAAACUGAUGGAUGAGAGGGUGAAAUCCACUGAGUGGGCCGUGGAGAACAGCCGUGUUUGAGAGGCAGCUCAGCGAUGUGAAUGAGGCCAUGAAGACGGCAGUGCCUGUGGGCCCCGAUAAAUGAUGGCACCAAGCAACUGGCAGGGCGGUGGGGGUGGGAGGGGUCCCUAGGCCCCACCCCUCUCUGCUCCUGUCUGUGUAAUUAACAGCCUGCCUCUGUCAGCGGCUCAGCCUUCAGUGCUCUCUGCUGCGGCUCUGGUCAGUGAGGCCUGGAGGGGUGGCUCCUUCACCUGCCCUCUCCUGGUUUUUCCUGUGCCUGCCCCCGUGAGCCAGGAGAUGCAUUCACAGCUGCCUUUUUUUGAUGUCUUCCUUUAAAAAGAGGCAUUCCUCUG